rnacentral:misc_RNA from 1 species
UAGUUCCGAGUUGAUACCAUACAAAUUGUGUGAUGGAACAUUAAUUGACAAAAUUGAAAGAGCACAGUCCACACUGCACAGCACGCAGGUCUAUUUAGAUGCAGCGAGAUCUCGCGACGGAUCUGGUCUAGUUAACAGGCAAGAUUUAUCAACCUCACCAGAGGUAGCCGGGGAUCUUGAUGCGGAGGAAGAGCAUGGCCAUGGCGUAGGCGAUGACAACGGCGACUGCGCCGGCGCUUCCAAACGAGACGCGGAGGCUCCGGGGCCUCGUGCGGUCGACGGCGAGGUCGAGGAGGAUGAUGCCAAUGCCGCCAAGGAGGAACAUGAACCCGGAGGAGAGUCCCUCGAUGAUGUACUGGCCGUUGACGCGCCCUGGAAGGAAGACGACGGGGCGGACGGCGCCAGUGCCGGGGUCCUGGGCGCUGCCGAUGCCAGGGGGCUCAACGAUGACGUCGUACACGAGUCCGGAGACGACCGCAAAGUAGGUGAGCAGGAUGAGGGAGAAGACGGUCAUGGGAGAGGGAAGCGCCAGGUUCGACGGCAGCCUCAGGCGGGUGCGCGGCGGCAGGAGGAAGGAGAAGGGUAGCACGCGGAGCACAUGGAAGAGUGGAUCGAUGGAGUCGAAGUGGGCCUGCGUGGCCGCCGCCGCGGCGCCGCUGCCGGCGGCGUGAUCCGAUCUAGGGGGCAUCGCCGCGUUGAGUGAGGAGAGAAAAAUACAGAGCGACGCCUGGGGUUUGGGCUUUUUGAGAAAUGGGGGAUGGGUAGAGUACUUCUGCUAGGCAUUUUUCCGAAUGUUUUCCAGGUCUGCAGA